rnacentral:rRNA from 1 species
AUGCGUCGGGCCGGAUGUCUAGGCCGUGGGCCGGAUGUCUGGGCCGUGGGUCGGAUGUCCGGGCCAUGUAGCUUGUCCGCUGCUGGUGACACCUCUAGGGGCCGGACAUCUGGGGUCUUGGGCCAGAUGUUCUAG